AGAUAACAAUAACAUUGGUGAUCC
rnacentral:siRNA from 1 species